rnacentral:rRNA from 1 species
UACGUAGGGGGCAAGCGUUGUCCGGAUUUAUUGGGCGUAAAGAGCGUGUAGGCGGCUGGGUAGGUCCGUUGUGAAAACUCGAGGCUCAACCUCGAGACGUCGAUGGAAACCAUCUGGCUAGAGUCCGGAAGAGGAGAGUGGAAUUCCUGGUGUAGCGGUGAAAUGCGCAGAUAUCAGGAAGAACACCCGUGGCGAAGGCGGUUCUCUGGGACGGUACUGACGCUGAGACGCGAAAGCGUGGGGAGCGAACAGG